rnacentral:rRNA from 1 species
AUUGAACGCUGGCGGCAGGCCUAACACAUGCAAGUCGAGCGAGCGGCGGACGGGUGAGUCAUGCCUGGGAAUUGCCCAGUCGAGGGGGAUAACAGUUGGAAACGACUGCUAAUACCGCAUACGAUUGGAUUGCCCAGGUGGGAUUCGCUAGUUGGUGGGGUAAUGGCUCACCAAGGCGUCGAUCCCUAGCUGGUCUGAGGGGUUGAUCAGCCACACUGGAACUGGGAAACGGUCCAGACUCCUACGGGAGGCAGCAGGGGGGAAUAGUGCAAAAUGGGGGAAACCCGGAUGCAGCCAGGCCGCGUGUGUGAAGAAGGCCUACGGGUUUGAAAGCACUUUCAGCGAGGAGGCGUUACUCGCAGAAGAAGCACCGGCUAACUCCGUGCCAGCAGCCGCGGUAAUAC